rnacentral:rRNA from 1 species
UACGGGGGGGGCAAGCGUUGUUCGGAAUUAUUGGGCGUAAAGAGCUCGUAGGCGGUGUGUCACGUCGGCCGUGAAAACCUGCAGCUUAACUGUGGGCGUGCGGUCGAUACGGGCAUCACUGGAGUUCGGCAGGGGAGACUGGAAUUCCUGGUGUAGCGGUGAAAUGCGCAGAUAUCAGGAGGAACACCGGUGGCGAAGGCGGGUCUCUGGGCCGAUACUGACGCUGAGGAGCGAAAGCGUGGGGAGCGAACAGG